CUCGGGGCAGACGGCAGGACCAGGGCUGAUGCUGUGCCUGCCUGGCCCGGCCCCGCCGGCGAAGCCUCUCCGGGGUGAGGAUCAGCAGCUGGACUGACAAACGAGUGCGAGAGGGGAGGGUAGGUGGAGAAAUCCCCUGGUGAAGUGUGGCUGAUCUUCCUUUUAGAAGAUGCUCAGCCACAAUGGUACAUCCACCUGGGCUCACUGUUUAUUGUAUUUUACAGCUCAUUGGAAGACGCAUGUUGGCAGCCCAGAACACUGGUACAUGUGUCAGACACAUCUGGCUCAACAAGAAUAUGAUCCAACACCCAAGGAGCACAACUAAGAUUAUCCCAUUGACUUCUGUAGGCAUUCAUCCAAGCCACUACCCUCUUGGUGCUGCAUUACUCCCCUUAAUGGACAAUUCUGAGCUCACAUCUGUGUUCUAAAACAUUGCUGGUGGUACAUAAAGAAUGAGUUUGUUUGCUUUUAUUAUGGUGUAUGGUUCACAUUCUAUCAAUAUAAUCCAAGGUUUAAGUUUGAUGUUAAAUAAUCGACCUGUUUAAGAAGGGAAUGUUUUAAUAAAGCUUUGCCACAUAUAUAAAUAACA
rnacentral:lncRNA from 1 species